rnacentral:rRNA from 1 species
GAUAAACGCUGGCGGCGUGCUUAACACAUGCAAGUCGAACGAUGAAGCUGGAGCUUGCUCUGGUGGAUUAGUGGCGAACGGGUGAGUAACACGUGAGCAACCUGCCCCUGACUCUGGGAUAACAGCCGGAAACGGCUGCUAAUACCGGAUAUGCACCAUGAACGCAUGUUCUGUGGUGGGAAAGAUUUUUCGGUUGGGGAUGGGCUCGCGGCCUAUCAGCUUGUUGGUGAGGUAAUGGCUCACCAAGGCGUCGACGGGUAGCCGGCCUGAGAGGGUGACCGGCCACACUGGGACUGAGACACGGCCCAGACUCCUACGGGAGGCAGCAGUGGGGAAUAUUGCACAAUGGGCGAAAGCCUGAUGCAGCAACGCCGCGUGAGGGAUGACGGCCUUCGGGUUGUAAACCUCUUUUAGCAGGGAAGAAGCGAGAGUGACGGUACCUGCAGAAAAAGCGCCGGCUAACUACGUG